rnacentral:tRNA from 1 species
GCUGUGAUGGUCGAGUGGUUAAGGUGUUGGACUUGAAACCCAAUAGGGUUGUACUGUGUGUGUGCAAAUCCUGCUCAUAGCA